ensembl:lncRNA
UUACAGAGAGGCCUGAAAUGUUACAGAGAGAGGCCUCAAAUGUUACCGAGAGGCCUUAAACGUUCUGAGAGGCCUUAAUCGUUACAGACUUUGUGAAGUAAAUGUAAAAACAAAAUCCCCGUUUCCUUAAUUGCGUCAAAAUGGAGAAAAUGGAAGAGAGUGAACCUUUGGCGACAUAUCUGAGAUCACAGCAAACGAGCCGAACAGCACGGCCACAAGCUGAAUACAACCGGAACAGGAGCUAAAACAGGGAUUAAACAGGAGCUAAAACAGGCAUUAAACAGGAAAAAACAGUAGCUAAACCAGGGCUAAACCAAGGCUAAAAUGCCUAUACUGAGGCUAAAACAAUGGGUAAACCAGGAACUAAAACAGGGACAGGGCUAAGCCAAGGCUAAACCAGGGCUAAACCAGGGCUAAAACAGGGCUAACUGGUCUAAACCAAAGACAAAACCAAGUGGCUUUCUGGUCUAGCCAAGGACUAAAAUCAGCUUUAAACCAGAUUGACCCGGGCCCAAAUUGAACCAGGUUUAACCCAGGACUAAAUCAGACUAAAUCUGGACUAAAACCCCCCCUAAAAGUGAGAUUUGGAGCUGCUGACCCAGUCUUCUACAUAUGAAUUUCUUUCAGUUCAAAUUCGUUAUGCACUUUAACUUACUGAUUCAGUAAUUUCCUAUAAUUCCCCAUUUUAAAAGGAGCAGCUGUGAAGACCUAAUGCUGUUUACCUGCCUGUUUACCUGCCUGUUUACCUGCCUGUUUACCUGCCUGUUUACCUGCCUGUUUACCUGCCUGUGGUCGCAAUGUUUUGACCGAUGGCUGUGUUAAACUGUAUACAAAUGCUGCCUUGAGAAUAAACAUGUAAAUAACAAAAACUGUUGUGCAGGCACUGAUAUCCCAGAGGAGCUGAGCGCCCCAGUGUGGUUUACUGCAAAAUAACGUCUCAAACAGCGUCACAUCUACAUAAAAAUACAGUAUCAUAAUAAAAAAAAACAAAGAGGUAGAAUACGACAGGAUGGCUGAGUUAUGGAGGUUGUGUGUUCAAACAUGGACCUGAACAAAUCCACGUUUUUGAUGUCCAGGCAUUCAAGCAGCAGAGUCGAGUUUUAAAUACAUUUAAACAUGAGUAAAUAGGCAGAAAAUGAAUAAUAGUCCAUAUAACAACAGUAUCUUUAAAGGACCCUUAUCAUAAUUGUAUCUUUAAAGGACGCGUAUCAUUACAAUAGUAUCUUUAAAGGACCCAUAUCAUUAUAAUAAUAUCUUUAAAGGAUCCUCUCGUCCCAGUGAUUCUCAAAUGGCCUGAAAAAGGGACCAAAACUCAGACUUUUGGAGCAAAGAUUUGACAAUUUAUAUAUUUGGCAUUUCUGGAAUAUUUUAAGGAAUUUUAUCAUUACGACGUUCGAAAAGGAAGAGGUGAUUUUAAC